rnacentral:tRNA from 4 species
GGUCCCGUAGCUCAGCAGGAUAGAGCAUCAGAUUCCUAAUCUGAGGGUCACGUGUUCGAAUCACGUCGGGAUCACCA